rnacentral:rRNA from 1 species
CCUACGGGUGGCAGCAGUAAGGAAUAUUGGGCAAUGGGCGCGAGCCUGAACCAGCCACGUAGCGUGAAGGAUGACUGCCCUACGAGUUGUAAACUUCUUUUAUAAGGGAAUAAAGUGAAGCACGUGUGCCUUUUUGUAUGUACUUUAUGAAUCAGGGUCGGCUAACUCCGUGCCAGCAGCCGCGGUAAUACGGAGGAUACGAGCGUUAUCCGGAUUUAUUGGGUUUAAAGGGAGCGGAGAUGUGUUGUGAAGUCAGUUGUGAAAGUUUGCGGCUCAACCGUAAAAGUGCAAUUGAUACUGGCAGUCUUGAGUACAGUUGAGGUAGGUGGAACUCGUGGUGUAGCGGUGAAAUGCUUAGAUAU